rnacentral:rRNA from 1 species
AAUAUUGCGCAAUGGGCGAAAGCCUGACGCAGCCACGCCGCGUGAGCGAUGAAGGUCUUCGGAUCGUAAAGCUCUGUGGGGGGAGAAGAAGAAAGUCGGUGAAGAGCCGACCCUGACGGUAUCCCCUUAGCAAGCACCGGCUAACUCCGUGCCAGCAGCCGCGGUAAUACGGAGGGUGCAAACGUUGCUCGGAAUCAUUGGGCGUAAAGCGCGCGUAGGCGGCUGAACAAGUUGGAUGUGAAAGCCCUGGGCUCAACCUAGGAUGUGCAUUCAAAACUGUUCGGCUUGAGUCUCGGAGGGGGUCAGAGAAUUCUCGGUGUAGAGGUGAAAUUCGUAGAUAUCGGGAGGAACACCAGUGGCGAAGGCGCUGACCUGGACGAUGACUGACGCUGAGGCGCGAAAGCGUGGGGAGCAAACAGGAUUAGAUACCCUGGUAGUCCACGCCGUAAACGAUGAGUGCUAGACGCUGGCGGAUUGACCCCGUCGGUGUCGAAGCUAACGCGUUAAGCACUCCGCCG